UCUCCGUUGGUGAACCAGCGGAGGGAUCAUUACCGAGUUUACAACUCCCAAACCCAAUGUGAACCAUACCAUACUGUUGCCUCGGCGGGGUCACGCCCCGGGUGCGUCGCAGCCCCGGAACCAGGCGCCCGCCGGAGGGACCAACCAAACUCUUUCUGUUGUCCCCUCGCGGACGUUAUUUUUACAGCUCUGAGCAAAAAUUCAAAAUGAAUUAAAACUUUCAACAACGGAACUCUUGGUUCUG
rnacentral:misc_RNA from 1 species